AGAAGAUUGACUGAGUGGUUUAAAGUGGUAUACUUGAGAUAUAUUUUAUUUAUAAUAACAUUGGUUCGAAUCCAAUAUCUUCUG
rfam:Ophiostoma piceae TAMH 11346 chromosome Tnknown scf47, whole genome shotgun sequence.